AAUAUCACCCACCCUUCUUUCCCUCCCUUCAAUCACAUAAACACCCUUUUCACAUUUUCUCUUCUUCUAUUCAUUUCUUCAACUUUCCCACCAUUUUCUCACUUCAUUUUCCUCCAAAACAUCGUUUGGAAAUGAGGACCGUGAGGUUUUUGGCCCUCCCAAUUAUCACUUUGAUGUUCAUUGCAAUUUCUCAUAUGGGUCAUGCUCAGGAUUUGGCUCUUUCUCCAUCACCUCCUCCUACAAGUGAUGGCACUGCAAUUGAUCAAGGAAUUGGUUACAUUCUCAUGUUGGUGGCUCUUGCAAUCACAUACAUGAUUCAUUAAUUUUUAUUCAUCUUACUACUAUUAUGAUGCCCGGAUCAAAGAAAAUUUCAGGAUUUUUUUUGUACUGUAAUUAUUAUUGAUUAUUAAUGAAAUUUAUUCUUAUUCUUACACA